UACAGAGGUCUCAACCGUUGUUCGGAUUCAUUGGGCGUAAAGGGUGCGUAGGCGGUCGCGCAAGUCGGAUGUGAAAUCUCAAGGGCUCAACCCUGAAACUGCAUUCGAUACUGCGUGGCUAGAGUGCUGGAGAGGAGACUGGAAGUUACGGUGUAGCAGUGAAAUGCGUAGAUAUCGUAAGGAAGACCAGUGGCGAAGGCGAGUCUCUGGACAGCAACUGACGCUGAGGCACGAAGGCCAGGGGAGCAAACGGG
rnacentral:rRNA from 1 species